rnacentral:sRNA from 12 species
UGCCUAAACCUCCGAAUUUAUCGGUGGCACGGCGUCAGAGAAAGCCCGUAGCAAACAUUAACGGUCUCCUGACCGGCACUUGUUUUGCUACGGGUUCACAUCUGAAAGGGUGUGAGGCAACUUCGAAAGGGGUUGUC